rnacentral:piRNA from 1 species
AUCAGCUUUCGUGAGGCGUGGUCCCCUGGU